UACGUAGGGUGCGAGCGUUAAUCGGAAUUACUGGGCGUAAAGCGUGCGCAGGCGGUUUUGUAAGCCAGAUGUGAAAGCCCCGGGCUUAACCUGGGAAUGGCAUUUGGGACUGCAAGGCUUGAGUGCGGCAGAGGAGACUGGAUUCCCGGUGUAGCAGUGAAAUGCGUAGAUAUCGGGAGGAAUACCGAUGGCGAAGGCAGGUCUCUGGGCUGACACUGACCGCUCAUGCACGAAAGCGUGGGGAGCAAACAGGA
rnacentral:rRNA from 1 species